GGCGGCUUCCAGCAAAAUAUAAAAACACCAUAAAACAUCAAGCAUUAAAAACUUCCCUAUACAGGGCUGCCUUCAGAUGUUGUUUUCUACAAGUCAGAGGAUGUUACACAGGGCAGGCACCACUACCAAGAAGGCCUGGUUCCCUGUAACUUCACUUCUUGCAGUGAGGGAACUGCUAGAAGGCCCUCAGAGCUGGACCUCAGUGUCUGGGCUGGAAAAAGGGGAUGGAGACACUCCUUCAGGUAUAUUGCACACUUAAAUGCUGAUGACUUUUCAUGAGGACUUAAAAAAAUAAAUAAAUCACAAAAUCAUGGAUCUGUGGUGAACUGACUGGGAAAAUGAGCAAUGGAGAGAAACAAAAAUGAACAGAUUUCUCCAUUCCUGCUUUAGAGGACAUGUGGAGAAAAGCUUCCUUUGAGUUUUCUCCAGCCUGGUUGCCUGGUCUUACACAUCUGGUUACUGGAGAGGGACUCUCUGCUUUGCUCAGAGAUCCUCUCUGUCAUAGAUGAAAGGACUGGAAUUGGCUCUGCAGUGGAGCUAAUUUCUCCCAGACAUUAAGUCAGAGAUGAAAACCUGAGGCCUUCCAGAUGUUGUUGGACUCGAACUCCUAUCAUCCCUAACCACUGGCCAUGCUGACUUGGACUGAUGGGAGUCAGAGUCCAACAACAUCUGGAGAAACACAGCAUACCCAUCAGCAUUUGUCUCGGGAGUCGAGUGUGGAUUUCAUGCUCUUUAUUCAGCUCAUAGUAGUGAGGAAUGCCAGUUCCCCCGAAAUGUCUGCUUUAUAUACAUUAUUUACACAACGGGCCCCACAUGAUUGGCUAAUUCCAGGAUUCUCCUGUGGGCCAAUCAGGUUGCGGAUUCACUUCCACCUGGAGUUGGAUUGGGUGGCUCCUGUGGACCAAUCAGACUGCUGCAUUCUGGAUCCUUUUGUUCUAGGACCAAUCAGACUGCUGCAUUUUGGAUCCUAUUCAACUCAGUACAUAACAAUAGGGAUGUUCUAUUCUAUUAUUAUUAUUAUUAAUACCCCAUCUGUCUGACGGGGUUGUCACAGGCACUCUAGGCAGCUUCCAACAUAUAUAAAAACAUAAUGAAACAUUAAAAAACUUCCCUAUACAGGGCUGCCUUCAGAUGUCUUCUAAAGGCUGUAUAGUUACUUAUCUCCUUGGCUUGGAGGUCACAUACCGUAACUCCAAACCCUCCAACAUUUCUCCAAUGAAGAUAGGGACAUUCUAAGGAAAAUCGGGACAUUCUGGGAUCAAAUCAGGAACCGGGAUGGCUCCUGUAUAUCUGGGACUGUCCCUGGAAAAUAGGGACACUUAGAGGGUCUGCCACAAGUUUCCUGUACUAGGCUGCAUGGACUUUUUUCUUCUUGAUGUCCCAGUUAACUAAAGUUAUUUUGACAAGACUCAUUGAAAGGAAAUGAACUUAUGAUAGUCAUGAAUAACAAGGCUUAGGGACCAGUUAAUUUUUUAUUGUGUACAGGCUGUACCAUCUAUAAUUGUGGCUUCAGGGACCUGUGAACAUCACACCUAGUACAGGCUGCAUCACCUAUAAUCUUGGCUUCCUAUUAUAUCAUAUGGAAGAAGCCUUUAAACUGCUAAAGGCAUAAAAAUCCUGAACUAUUUUUUGGUGUGGCUGAGAGAGCAUAACAAUGCAUCAUUAUUUCCAGAGCACUUAAGGUGCACUAGGCAUGAAAAUGUGAAGACAAUUCAUACCAAAUCACUGACCACACUUACUAAUAAAGUUUGAGACAGUAGGCGUCAGAGAGGGAACAGAAAGAGACCAUGUCAGUGUUGAGCAGAAGGGAAUAAAUCCGGAACGAAGAAAAGCUGCAAACCAAUUACAAUCCUAUGCCUGUUCCCUCAGAAAGAAGCCCCGCUGUUCUUUUUCAGAAGAAAAAUAACCUACCUGUCUGAAGUACCUUAAUGUCCAGCAGAUAAACCCAUUUGUCAGCUGGUGAGGAGAGGCAGUAACGUGCCUGUCUUGUGCCUAGAUGAAUUAAAUUGCCUUUGUCCUGUGGUUCCUAAACUUCCUUCCCUCAGGGAAAUUGCAUCCAUUUUGAUGUCAAGGAAUCCCUCUGAGCCAGCGGCAGUCAUCCUGCCUCUUGAAGAUGGGGACACUGUAGUGUGUUUUUAAUUUUUUAAAAUAAUAAUAAGUUAUAUUAUUUAUAAUAAAUAUUACUUACAAUAUGCCCGCCCUGUGGAACACCCUCCCAUCAGAUGUAAAAGUGAUACACAAGUACCUGACAUUUAGAAGACAUCUGAAUGUUUUUAAUGUUUUUAAUGUGUGACAUUUUAAUGUAUUUUUAAUCUUUGUUGGAAGCCGCCCAGAGUGGCUGGGGAAGCCCAACCGCAUGGGCGGGGUACAAAUAAUAAAUUAUAUUGUUGUUGUUGUUAAACUGCUUUGUUUUCAAUUUGUAUGUCUUGAUUUUAUUUUCUUUGUUUGUCACGUUAGGCAAGGGUCCACAGCCCAGUUCCUAGCUGGCCAGGUGGGGCUUGCUAGCUCUGGGAGAAGGUGUAUGAUUCCUCAGCUGCAGUAGGCUCAGGACAGGUGAGGGUCACAGGCCUCAUCAAGCCCAGAUGCUGCAAUCAAGUGCAAAAGGGAAGCCAAGCUGAGGUCUCUGCAAGACUCCAGGAUCUCUGCAAAUGUUUGGUUUGGAUUUCGGAAACAUGGAAUGAGCCCAGACUUGACGUCCUGACUUGCUGGCAGGUAGGCCAGGGUUUUGGGACAGUGGGAUAGAUUCCUGUUGACCCUCAGGGUUCUCUUUCAACGAGGCCUCUUUCUGAGGGAACGCACAUAGGAUUGUAAUUGGUUUGCAGCUUUUCUUCGUUCUGGUUUUAUUCCCUUCUGCUCAACACUGACAUAGUCUCUUUCUGUUCCCUUUCUGACGCCUAUUGUCUCAAACUUCAUUAGUAAGUGUGGUCAGGGAUUUGGUAUGAAUUGUCUUCACAUUUUCAUGCCUAGUACACGUUAAGUGCUCUGGAAAUAAUGAUGCAUUGUUAUGCUCUCUCAGCCACACCAAAAAAUAGUUCAAGUGGCCACAAAAACAUCUUGUGGAAUCAAAGCUAUUGUUAUUUAAGUUUAGAAUAACUAAAUAUAGAAAAAUGAACAAAAAGCAGAAAAUGUGCACACAUGCUGAGACUAGGAAUGAGUUUAAAGGUUUUGGAGGGGGGAAGCCUUCACCAGGUGCUGGAAAGAAAUGCCAGGCAAGCAUUCCAAAGCCAGGGUGCCACCACGAAGAAGGACCUGCCACCCAUAACUUGCUGCCCUUCCUCAGUUGGCAGGGAAGCCCAGAGGAAUGUCUCCAGGGUUGAUUCCAAAGUAUGAGCAGGUGCAUGUGAACACAGCACAAUCCUUCAGGUACUCUGCUCUGACGCACAGCCACAAGAGUCAUUAAGGUCAAAUCCAGUGCUCUGAACUGGGCCUGGAAGCAGGCUGGGAGCCAGGGCAAGUUGGCAAAGGACCGGUACAAUGUGAUCAGCGUGACGCCAGUGUAGCAGCCUCCUAGCAGCCAUAUCCCAAACUUUUGUUUCCAAACUGCCUUCAGAGGCACUCCCAGGUAUAACAGAGCACAGUUGUCUUAUGCUUGCUUAGUUCUUGCUUCCUUUGGCAUUCUGUCUCCUCUGACAUUCGUCUCUUUGUUCCCUGCUGGCUUCAACCAUUUUUCUUUGGUGUCCGCCCCCCCCUUACACUUUUCAAGAACAAAAUGAUCAGGCCUUUCAUUCCUCAUUGUAUACAGACGGAGCCAUUUCAGCUGCUUAAUCUGUACCGCAAUAUAAAACUAGGCAAGAGUAGCAAACUCCGAUUGAUGAGGCUGUCUCUCUCAAGGAGUUUUACUAAUUUAUCUGCCAGCUUGAUGACUCACAGAAAAUGGUCGCUUAAGGUUCAGAGAAGAGCACGGCAUUAACUCUGCUGCUGCUGCUCUUUCCCCUCGUAAUCAAAAGCAUCUAUCAUUUCUCACUUAAGCUUUUAUUAUUAAGUAGGGUAUUUUUCCCCUCAGAAAAGCCUGACAGGCUGGCAGAAGUAAUUUAGAUUCUCAUCUCAUUUUUUUUUUUUUUUGGGUAAAAAAUAAAAUAAAAUUGCAACUACUUUCAACAGCCUUCAUGUGCUGCUUUUGUUAAUUAUCCAGCUACAAGCCAUUACCAUUCAGGCUUGUUUGAAAUCUCACUUGCAUGAGAUCAUUCAUUUUUUAUUCUAUAUGUUGGCACUUGAAUCAAGGGCAUUAUCUUUGUUAUGACUAGGGAAUGAAUCGUUCAGCCCAAUGGCAUGUUACUUAGAAGUAAAUUCCACUGUGUUCGUUCGUUCAUUCAUUCAUUCAUUCAUUAUUAACAUUAUUAUCAGGGCGGCAAACACAUCAAUAAUAAUAUUGCCAUUUGCACCCUUGUAAGUGGGUUGCGCUGUGGGUUAAACCACAGAGCCUAGGACUUGCCGAUCAGAAGGUCGGCGGUUUGAAUCCCCGCGACGGGGUGAGCUCCCGUUGCUCGGUCCCUGCUCCUGCCCACCUAGCAGUUCGAAAGCACACCAAAGUGCAAGUAGAUAAAUAGGUACCACUCUGGCGGGAAGGUAAACGGCGUUUCUGUGCACUGCUCUGGUUCGCCAGAAGCGGCUUAGUCAUUUUGGCCACAUGACCCGGAAGCUGUACGCCGGCUCCCUCGGCCAGUAAAGCGAGAUGAGCGCCGCAACCCCAGAGUCAGCCACGACUGGACCUAAUGGUCAGGGGUCCCUUUACCUUUAAGUGGGUUUAGGGUUGCAGCCUAAACACCUGUAUAAAAAAGUUUGUCCUAUUGAGCACAAUGGGAAUUCCUUCCUAGUAGACAUGCAUUAGAUUGUAGUGAACAUCUCAGGAUGGAGUAGCAAGUCUUGACCCAAAACCAAGGGAAAACACACUCAGAACUGCCAAUGUGGCCUGAAACCAAAGUUUCAUAUAAUGGGGAAUUUGUGUGAAUGCAGGGUUUUCAAGGCGUGGGAUGAAUGAAUGUGUCACCUUUGGCUUCUUUCAGUUGUUCAUGUUCCCAAGCAUCAGUCCAGUUCUCUACAUUUCCACAUCAAUUGAAGAUGGGGGGGGGGGGGAAUCCCAUCAAAACCAAUCAACACUUUAACGUGCAUUUCUAAUAUUUACAUUUUUAUGCAAUUUUAUACACAAUUUUGCCAAGCGAUUCCCUCCAAUUUAAUUCAUCUUGGUACAUUAUUUUCAGCAGUGCACACAUUUUUGUGCACAUUAUUCACUUGGAGAACCAUGGAGUUUUUAAUGCAGGUUUAAUGCACGGAAAAGGUCCCGUGUUGAUAUUCAGAGCUAAUUCCAACAUUGCUAUCCCUCCCCUCAUUGUGGAAGCUUCUAAAAUAAACGAUUUGUGGGGCAGGGGCUUCAUCCACAUGGGGAUGUGACAUUGAGAAACGUGGCCAGCACAUUUUUCUGCUCUGGUACACAAGUGGAUAGGUCUAUUUCCCACUCAGUCAUCUCACAGCCCAGAAGGAGGGUAGCAAUUAGGAGAGAAAGAGUCAUGUCACUAACUCCUUCUCACAUUUGGGAAGGCUGCAUUUGAUGGAAUGGCGCAGUGCAGACCCAGGAUCUCAGGACCAAGCAGACAGGAUUGUGGAUGGUUAGCAAUCCCACCCAUCUGCUGGUGCCCCCACACAACCUCGACAAAUGUUCUGUGAAGAAGAUAAAACCACGAGUUGAAUGUUCCCCAUUAUCCCUGUUAGAUUUCUGGAGCAUCUAAUUGCACAACUAUUCCGACUGUUGCUGAUGCCCUGUGAUGAAAGAGAGAUGAAGAAAUCCCUUUUAUUUGCUUGGGGCUGAUAGCGAUGGGGCAGAUCAUGCCAGGGCCCGAAAUAACGGGUUGGCUGGACAGUGUGACCCCUCGUUCAUCAGACUCCAGCCCUUUGUGACAGCGCUGUCCAAACAAUCCUAUUCAAACAGAGACCGAAAGUGCAGGUAACAUGUAACACAAACAGAUAUAUACACGCACACACAAAUUACUGCCUGGUACAGGGUUACCCCAAAUCGACCUGCUUACCACAUGUGUCCAACUGGUCAAAAGGGAAGGCAUUUCCAGUAAGUGUGUGUUUAGUCCUUCAUGUCCUGAGGCUCUUCCUUCACAGUGGGUUAUAUAUCAGAGCCUCGCCUGGAUCUAUUGCAUAAAAAUGAGGUCUCAGCAGGCUGCAAGUAGGCCACAAAGAGAAGUGUGUUAAGAGUCCACGAAACUCAAUUGUUUAUUAAUUUUUUUGGUGUGUUUUUUUUUUAACAGCCCAACAAAUAAACCAGGACUGGCCGGCAAAACGAGCACCUCUAUUAUUAAUACUUUUAUAUAAGAGCUUUUAUUUAUAUAAGACUUACAUAAAUAUAAUUUAUAUAAUAUUUCUUAGUCACUUGAGGCUAUCUCCUGGAACUGGCUUUUGAGCUUUCCCAGGCAUUGGAAGGGAUAGCUGUAAAUUCCUAGGAGGAAACUGGGUCAUUGGCCACCUAGGGUGAGAAAACUGCUUCGAUUCUAGAGCUUUGAAUGCUGGGUCAUUGGGGCACUGCACUAGGCUAAAGUAAUAGUUCGAUUCCUGGGUGCAGGCAUCAGGCAUUUAGGAAUCCAGGGAAAUCCAUGAGCAGAAUGGCUUCCACUUCCACAAUGGGACUUUCCCUCAUCAACCCCACUCAGCAGUGCCAUGCACCAUCAUUAAUCUGCUCUGAAGGGCUGAGGGACAGAGUUUGGGGGUGUACGGGGAGGAGUCGCAUUGUACAAGCAGAAGACAUCAUCAUCAUCAUUUAUUAUUUAUAACCUGCCUAUCUGGCUGAGUUUCCCCAGCCACUCUGGGCAGCUCCCAAUCGAGUGUUAAAAACAAUACAGCAUUAAAUAUUAAAAACCUCCCUAAACAGGGCUGCCUUCAGAUGUCUUUUAAAGAUAAGAUAGCUGCUUAUUUCCUUCACAUCUGAAGGGAGGGCAUUCCACAGGGCGGGUGCCACUACCGAGAAGGCCCUCUGUCUGGUUCCCUGUAACCUCACAAUGAGGGAACCGCCAGAAGGCCCUCGGCGAUGGAUCUCAGUGUCCAGGCUGAACGAUGGGGGUGGAGACGCUCCUUCAGGUAUACAGGACGGAGGUCGUUUAGGGCUUUAAAGGUCGGCACCAACACUUUGAAUUGUGCUCGGAAACGUACUGGGAGCCAAUGCAGAUCUCUCAGGACCGGUGUUAUGUGGUCCUGGCAGCCACUACCAAUCACCAGUCUAGCUGCCGCAUUCUGGAUUAUUUACAGUUUCCAGGUCACCUUCAAAGGUAGCCCCACGUAGAGCGCAUUGCAGUAGUCCAAGCGGGAGAUAACUAGAGCAUGCACCACUCUGGCGAGACAAUCCACGGGCAGGUAGGGUCUCAGCCUGCUUACCAGAUGGAGUUGGUAGACAGCCACCCUGGACACAGAAUUAACCCGUGCCUCCAUGGACAGCUGUGAGUCCAAAAUGACAUUACACAGCAUAGAGGGAUACUUAGUGCUACGUUGAAUAUAGCCCCCAUUUCUUCUGGGUCCUCCUUGGAGUGAUCAGGCCCACAACACAUCUGGAGGGAGUGACUUCAGCCCUCCGUUUCUCCAUCCCAAAGGAUGAUUCUCAGCUGAGACUAUAUGCAAACGCUUACAAUGUGGCCCAUUACAAUAUUGGUCUGUGUGGAUGUGUGGAAGCAAGCUUCCUUCACUCACAUCCGCCCCUGGCUGGAUCCAUUCACUGGGGCUCUUAAGAGAGCUGAAAGUAGGAAAAUAAUUUAAGAAAAGCUCUGCUGGAUCAGACCAAAAGCCACUUAGUUCAGCAUCCUGUUCACGCAGUGGCCAAACAGUUUGCCUCUUGGAAGCCUACACACAAGACCUGAACGAAACAGCUCUCUUCCCACUUGUGACUGCGUGUCGAGGUCCCCAAGCCACCCCUAAAUAAAUCCACACUUCACGCCAUAAUUUUUGUUUAAGGUUUUUGGCAUAAUUUUGGCCACAACUUUAUUAAAAUACAAACAAUGUGAGUGGUUUCUUAGGCAUUGGUUACGACUAUCUGUCCCCACCCAGGGACAGAACUGACAUCCGCAAGCCUGCGAAGCCAGUGAGGGAAAACAUUUUAUGGGGAGUAGAUGGAGCUGGGUACCAGACCCUCAGCUCUCCCCAAAUGCUUCCAGGGGCUCUUGUGUGGCCCUAUCUCCCUUUACAGGGGUGCGGACAAAAGCAUGGUGAAUCCCUGGAUUCCUUUAACGGAAUACACUUGCAGCAACUGCAUUGUAGGGGCAGGCACAGCCAAUCCAUUCCCCUCCACCAACCAAUUUUUUGUGGCCAAACAGUUUGCUUCUUGGAAGCCUACACGCAGGACCUGAACGAAACCGCUCUCUUCCCACUUGUGAUUCCCAAAAAUCACACUACCUGUGGUUUGUACACUCAUUCCUGUCACCCUAACGCCAACCCUCUGGGGGGAAAAAAGAUCACCUGUCUCUAGUUGAAGAAUUCUCUCUCUUUCUUUGUCUUUUCCAUGCGUGCCUAGGAAGACUGCACUUAAGCUAAGACAAGACAAGUGAUAAAAGCCUCAUUAUUCUGCCACGCUGAUAAAUACUUAGAUUCUUAUUAAAUACGACAAAUUAUGAAAGCUGAUCAGAAUCACCAUCCACCGCAAUCUUCAAAAAUAACAGCCACUGCUGUCAAAGCUGCUCAGCUAUUUUUCAAAUCCAGUGACAGCCCUCCCCUCUUCCGCCUCCCGCGUUAGUAAAUUGCUUUGGAUGAGUUGCUUCGCUGGGGACAGAGAUGUUUCCUUUCAUUUAUUUCAGAUGCACUUGCUGUUAAUCCCCGAUGGGGAGUCGUUGCUCUCAUGUUCUGCCUCAGUAUGACGAGGUAACUUCUCCAAUCUCUUUUGCAAUGGAGAUGUAAAAUUUCCUGGUCAUUUUGCAUCCCACCCCCCAACUCAAAUCCAUGGACAUUAAUUCUAGAGAAGGUGUGUUAGCUGUGAUGUAAAUGUUACUUGUCAGAUGCACUUAGAGCUGAAUCCAGAGGCGCUUCUGUUUUGCUAAUGCCUAUCAUUACCGCUACAAGACUUCAUUCCCAUGCAUGCCUUUUUUCAAAGUACAGUGGUACCUCAGGUUACAUAUGCUUCAGGUUACACACGCUUCAGGUUACAGACUCUGCUAACCCAGAAAUAUUACCUCAGGUUAAGAACUUUGCUUCAGGAUGAGAACAGAAAUCAUGCUUCGGCGGCACGGCGGCAACGGGAGGCCCCAUUAGCUAAAGUGGUGCUUCAGGUUAAGAACAGUUUCAGGUUAAGUACGGACCUCCGGAACGAAUUAAGUACUUAACCCGAGGUACCACUGUAAGGUCCAUGGUUGCAAAUCCAGAACUGGUGUUAAGUACCUGCUUGCAUUAAUAAUAAUAAUAAUAAUAAUAAUAAUAAUAAUAAUAAUAAAUAAUUUAUUUAUACCCUGCCUAUCUGGCUGGGUCUUCCCAGCCACCCUGGGUGGCUUCCAACAAAGUAUUAAAAUACAGUGGUCUGUUAAACAUUAAAAGCUUCCCUAAACAGGGCUGCCUUCAGAUGUCUUCUAAAAGUCUGGUAGUUGUUCUUCUCUUUGACAUCUGGUGGGAGGGCGUUCCGCAGGGUGGGUGCCACUACCGAGAAGGCCCUCUGCCUGGUUCCCUGUAACAUUUAGCAUGCAGGGCCCCCUCCCCUUUCAUGCAAAUAAAGAUCCCCAUCAGCUGGCAGUUGUAAUAAUUAUCAGCAGUAAGAGGUGCCUUCACUGCAGCUGUCCUGAAGGAAACCUCUCCUCUGAAGCCGCCAUUUGCAUUGGGUGGGAAUCACCACACACUAAGGAAAGAAGAAGAGCUUGCUGAAUCUGACCAGUGGCUCAUCUAGGCCAGCAUCCUGCUCUCACGAGAUGCCUGUGGGAAACCAGCAAGCAGGAACUGAGCCCAAGAGCAGCCUCCCCUCUGGUGCCAAUGAGCAGGAUUUCCUCCCAAUGCGAAUGAGAGGGAGGGAGAGGAGUUAGCAGUAAACAUAAGAUGAGGAGAGUAAAGUCAAGUCUCAGAACAGUACAGUGGUACCUCGGAUUACAGGUGCUUCAGGUUACAUACGCUUCAGGUUACAGACUCCACUAACCCAGAAAUAGUACCUUGGGUUAAGAACUUUACCUCAGGAUGAGAACAGAAAUUGUGUGGCGGCAGCGGGAAGCCCCAUUAGCUAAUGUGGUACCUCAGGUUAAGAACAGUUUCAGGUUAAGAACGGACCUCCAGAACGAAUUACGUUCUUAACCCGAGGUACCACUGUACUAUUUUAAAAAAAAUACACUGCCAUGUGACCCCUACCAGGAGAUUCCCCAUGUAAACUGCUGCUGCAGACGAAAGAUGAUGGUGAGGAGCUUUUAUAGAGAGGAGACAAAUACACAUUUACAUGUGAUGUUGGAAUAAAAAGAAAACGGAACAGUGAGUUUGCCGUAAGGUGAGGCAGCCUCCCCUAGAAGGCAGAUUUUUAGGAAUCGAAAGGCAGGAAGUGGUAAAUUAUUUAGCUGCAGUUUUAUUCCUGAGGGGCGACAUCAAGAUUAUCUGCCUUGGGGAGCGAAAAGAUUUGGUCCAUCUCUGUGAAAGUGAAUAUGGAAGGAGAUAGCGAUUGGGAGACACAGAUAAGAUGGGAAAUGUUAAUACCUGCUUUCAAUAUUUUGGAAAAUCAAAGGAGAUAUUAGGCUUCUGGGGUUUUUAAAGAGUCAAUUCACACAUUCCUUCUCUUAUGAGAGGAAGUUAACACAGAUUUACUUGAUUUGAGUGGUUUGAAUCUACCCCAUCACUUAUCUCAGUUUUUCUGACAUGGAUGCCUGAAGCCUACUCCUGACUGCUGUAGGCAAUAGAUUGGAUGCUCAAGGGCUAGUUUCUCUCUUUUGUUACCCUGCAUAGCAAAUAUUGUCUAGAUAAUAAAUCAUUAAUCAUCAUUAUUUACACUGAGAUAUCUGUGGACGUGGCAUUUUGCGAAGAACAGGCCUGAUAGGUCCCUGACUCUAGCAUCUUACAAUCUGAAAAGAAAUACAGGGAAAGGGAGGAGACAGGGGGAGGAGUAUGUUGUUAUUUCAAAUUACAUGCACUUUGGCUCAGUGACAACAUUGGGCAUUAGGACUAGGUGUUGUUCCAAAGGAUUCUAGGGAAAGAUGGGCUUUGAUGAGGAAGGGAGAGAGGCAAAUAUAAGGACACAAGAAGAGCCUUGAUAGAUAGAUGCUGGUUCAGCAUCUUGUUAUCACCAUGGCCAAGCAAAGCAGGUGUGCUGAUGGGGAGGACCUCAGUGUAAUAAUAAUAAUAAUAAUAAUAAUAAUAAUAAUAAUAGAUUUAUUAUUUAUACCCCGCCUAUCUGGCUGGGCUUCCCCAGCCACGCUGGGCGGCUUUCAACAAAAUAUUAAAAUACAGUAAUGCAUCAAACAUUAAAAGCUUCCCUAAACAGCUUCCCUAAACAGGGCUGCCUUUAGAUGUCUUCUAAAAGUCUGGUAGUAGUUGUUCUCUUUGACAUCUGGUGGGAGGGCGUUCCACAGGGCGGGUGCCACUACCGAGAAGGCCCUCUGCCUGGUUCCCUGCAACUUGGCUUCUUGCAGUGAGGGGGAACAGCACUAGAUCCACUUGUGAUUCCCAACAACUGUCACUGUCAAUAUAUGGUAGCCAAUGUGGUGCCCUCCAGAUGUUGUUGGACUACACAUCCCAUCAUCCCUGACCAUGCUAGCUGAGGCUGAUGGGAGUCCAACAACAUCUGGUGGGGCACUGCGUUGGCUAUAACACAUGGAUGGGGAACCUGCACCCCUCCAGAUGUCUGGGAACUCCAUCUCCCACCAUCCCUGAUGAUGGAUCAUGCUGGCUGGGGUUGAUGAGACCUGGAAUGGUGCUCUAGUGUGAACCAUCAAUUUCUAAGGCAGUGGUGCCCACUGCCGGCUGUGGGCAAUGGACAUAACAAUACAGUCAGGCUAGCUACCAGCCACGCAGAAGCUGAAGAGAAGCUGUACCAACAUCUGUCCCUCCAGGCAAGCAUCACAGUUCACACAGAAAUUCCAGCCAGGCAAAAGCACUUAAGGAGGCUGAGGAACAGGACCAUUGAAGGCCGUAUCCUGAGAAGAGUGGGUCUGGCCUGUAACAGUCCCAAGGGCCAGAUGGAAAGCCCUCGAGGGCCACCUUUUGACUCUGGGUUUGAGGAUCUCCACCAACAGGGUUUCUUAGCGCUUUCUGUUUUUAUUUCUGUAGACCAAAAUGUCUGCCCUUUUGUAUAUCUGCCUAAUCGUGUAUAUUUUCACUGUGCCUUUUGCUUUUAAAGGGUUGGGGCUUCCGUAACUUCAAAGUUGUGAUUUCCUUGAGGGCAUGGCAUGGGUGAUGGAUUGUAGGGACAUCAAGGAGAAGGGCUGACAUUUUUCAAAGUUACAUGUCCGUGGCUCAGCCACAACUAAUAUUUGCUAGCCAUUGAUCCGGCUUCCCUUGGUGUUAUUCUUUAACUUCAGUGUGAGGUUCAAAGUUCUGUCAUUUGUUUAAAAGCUGAUUUCAUUGCUAGGGCAUGUCCUCCAGCUAAUCUAACAAGUGAUAGAGGGCCGGAGGGGGAAAUAGAAGAGGGGGGGACUGACCAGGUGGAAAUUUCUGAUGCUUGCAGGCAGAAGAAAAAUGCACGCUUAAGUGUCAACAUGUGGCCGUGCCAUGUAGGAAAUAGUCCAGCAUUAUUAAAGAUAAGAAUACUGACUAUAAGGAUCUUAAAAGCACAAACUAUAAGGAUUAUGUUUCACACACUGCAAACAUGGCAGCAAACCUAGUUUGUCUCAGAUUCUACUCUUGCCAGUGAGAUUCUACUCUUGCCAGUGAGCAAACCAUAGUGGACAACAGGUGUGUUUGCAAAUACAUAUUUCUGGCAGUGCUACUGGACACACUGAGGGAGACACUUGAUUUCUUUAAGGUGUACCUCUCAGAAAGCAGUGUGUGAAAUAUCUCUCAGUGGCUGCAUGGUGAUUUCAGUGUUCAAGGGAGCCCUUUUUGCCAAACAUUGCCUGGGUCCUGGGCCCACCCUGGAAUCAGUUACCAGCUGAAAUGCGGCCUAGUGUCUUGAUAUUUAGACAGCUACCAAAUGUAUUUUUGUUCAAGAGCAAUUUCCCUGGUGUGACCCAGUCAUUUUAAGGAAUAUUGACUAGAAAUUGUUGUUAGGAGAGCAGGCAGCUUGGAUGACUUGAAUCGAAAGUUCAAAGGCUUUAUUCAUGCAGGAGCAGAUUUUUAUUUGCAGGAACUGUUUAUAGGAUGAGUAGAGGAGAGAAAUAACAGGCAUCUUCUCUCAUCAUGUUAGGUGAGACAAAACAAAAUGGCUCAGCUUUUAGGGAUGAACUUAGACAGAGGGGCUACAAGCAAAAUGUUGGCUAGAUUGCUAGACAAAGAGUGGGCUUGUGUGGUUUAAAGUAACACAUGCAAUAGCUAAAGGCUCAAAAGAAGGAAAUGUAUUUGCUUUUCUCCAACAUUUGUUUUAUUGUUUUUAGUUGAUUUGAGACUGUAGUUUUUGUAUUUUAUAUUAUUUUAUUGUAAACCACUUUAGUAGCUUAGGGCUGUGAAGUAAUUUGCAAGUCAAUGUAUUCUCCCAUUGUAGACGUGCUUGUUUACCAAUAUCUGCAGAUCAAUACAUCCUGCUUAUACUGCCUCUUGCACAGGUAUGUCUUGCAUCAACCAGGACUCAGGUCUUUUCCUCCAUGGCACCCAGGCUUUGGGAUAACUUAUCAGGAGGUUAGGCAGGGACCAUCUUGAUCAUCAAUCUGACAUGUUUUGAAGAUCUGCUUGUUCAUGCAAACACUUACCGAUUUGUAUUGUUACUAACAAUCAUUGUUAGUAAUUAAUCUUAUUGACCUGGUUUUUUCUACGGUGGAUUUGUAUUGUUGCAAAUGGUUUUUUAAAAUGCCUUAUAAUAUGGAGUAUUAAUGUAUUUUUCAAUAUAUAAUUUUUUCCUUUCCAUACUGCCCUAGGGUUUCUUUUAAUGGAGAGUGGUAUAUAGAUGCUUUUAAUAAAAGCAGCCACCACCAUCAUAAUGUGUCCUUUUCAUUUAUUUAUUUAUUUAUUCAAUAGGUAUGGAGCCAUUUUCAAAACAUCCAGUUCCUAGUACAUCUUAGGCACUUCCAGAUAUUAAAUAAUAUUGAUUUUUAAUAUAUUAACUGGACCCAUUCAUUUUAAUACAAGCAGCACUGUGAAUGCUCUCUGAAGGAUAUAAGCCAGUUCUAAAUGAAUUUCUUAUUAUAUUUUAUUUGAUCAUUAGUAUAAUGACCUAUUCAGUUAAAUAAUAAAAUUUGAUAUACCUCAAUUAACCACCCAUCUUUUAAGCAAUUAACUUGAUUAAAUAUUGGAAACCCUCAACAAAAUUGCACUUUUGGAGGCUCUGGAGGAGGGGGUGGGGAAAGAGGACAAGAGAGUUUCCUAAAUUUGAAGCCACCAUUUUCUGGCUGCUGCUAACACACGCUUAAACUGUUUUCAUCAAAUUUGCCGAAGGGAGGAUCAGGACUAGGUUCUGGGAGGAUCCCACACCUAAGAUUUUUUGUUGUGGUCAGUAAUUAGCUGGGGGCAAUUUUUAUUUUGUGAUAAAAUAUUUGGUUAGUCACUCCAAUGAAUAUGAAUACGGAUUGGUUAACUGGAUUUCCUGGAUCAAGGACAACAUACUCAGAGUAGACCCAUUGAAAAGUCCGUUGAUUUCAGGGGGUUUACUUAUUUACACCAUCACUUUAAACUAUGGGUAGGCAAACUAAGGUUUGGGGGCCCACCCUGGAAUCAGUUACCAGCUGAAAUGCGGCCUAGUGUCUUGAUAUUUAGACGGUUACCAAAUGUAUUUUUCUUCAAGAGUGAUUUCCCUGGUGUGACCCAGUCAUUUUAAGGAAUAUUGACUAGAAAUUGUUGUUAGGAGAGCAGGCAGCUUGGAUGACUUGAAUUGAAAGUUCAAAGGCUUUAUUCAUGCAGGAGCAGAUUUUUAUUUGCAGGAACUGUUUAUAGGAUGAGUAGAGGAGAGAAAUAACAGGCAUCUUCUCUCAUCAUGUUAGGCGAGACAAAACAAAAUGGCUCAGCUAUUAUGGAUGAACCUAGACAGAGGGGCUACAAGCAAAGUGUUGGCUUGAUUGCUAGAUUUAUUUAUUUUUCUAAUUGGAUACACUGGAAUGACGGUUUAUUUGCCAGAUAAAGCAAAAGUAAAGUCUACAUUAUGUGUGAAUUGUGUUUGGUGUGAGUCCUUUCUGUGUUGCUAUUAGAAAUGCACUGUUUCUGAAUAUGCACUGUUUGGAAAUGCACACUUGAAUAUAGUCAUAGAUCAAGCAGGACUAUGUUGAUUGAUCACCUUACAUUUAAGAUUUUCUCUGUUGAUAUUCCUGCUGAUUUUGUGUGAUUUUUCUUAAAUUUGUAAAUAGUACGUUUUAAAAAGAGUAGUGUUUGAAAUACAAAUAUUAAACUUUCAAGGAAACAAGCCAUAUAAUUUAAAGUACAAUAUGUGUCUAUUUUCAUAACUUCUUAUUAAAUUUUUCUUCUCCAUCAGAUGAACAAUAGCCAGUAAUUCCCUUCAUAAAUCUUAAGAAAAUAAAAUGGAAAAGGAACAUAAUCUUUAAUCAAAUCAGCAUUUAUGUUUGUAUAUCUAAUGGAAGUAUGUUUUCAAAGAUAUUCCAAAUUAGAACACUGGAUUAUAUUCAACUAAGGCCUCCUCAGAGCAGACCAUUGAAAUGUGUGAACCUAAGAUGAUCAUGUCCAUUAGCUUCAAUGUGUUAUUUACUUCGUUGGCAUCCAUCUGUCUUGGGAAACAAUAGACUACUACUCUAUAACAAAGUUUUUAGGAUAGCUCACUUAUACAUUUGCUGUUUUGCUUAUUUUUUCAACGCACAAAUCUAUAAGCUCAUUAUGGCAGAUGAGCUCAUUAUCCUCCCUGUCCAGAAGUAGUUAAGCAAUCUAAUGGGUUUGGAAACACAGCAAAUUUCUUCUGGAAUGUUUGAAAGCUUUUACCAUUCGGAAGUUGUCUUCAUUCAGGCUGAAAGAUAGUUUUAGAACUCAACAGUGUCCUCUUUGAAAGAUUUACUGUGAAUUCCAAGAAUCCUGAUUUCAGCAAAUCAGAAGUUAAAGUGAAGGGAAAAAAUUGCUCUUGUUCCCCUUGAACGUCAAUCCUGGUGCAGAAUUCAGAGGCACCAGUUUGAAGAUACAACGCCAAACCUGGCCCAACUGCACUUGGCUGCCAGUCAGUUUCCUGGCCCAGUUCAAAGUGUUGGUUUUGAUCUAGAAAGCCUUCAAAGGCUCAGGAUCACAAUACCUUCUCAAGGAUUGCCUCUCCCCAUAUGAACUGACCCGGACCCUGAAAUCAUCCUCUGAGGCCCUUCUUAGUGUCGACCCUCCACAAAAUGUCUGCAGGGUGGCAACACAAGAAUAGAACUUUCCUGCAGCGGCUUCCAACUUCCAACAUAUUUUUAGGUGCCAGGCAAAAAUGCUCUUCUCCCAGGCCUUUGGCUGAUUAAACUAUCUAUGGCCUUUUAAACUGUGGGUGGGUGGGAUUAUUGUUUGGUUUGUUACUAUGUUAGGUAUUUUUGUGUUUUCAUAUUGUAAACUGCCCCGUGAACCUUGGGUGAAGGCGGUGUAGAAAUUUUUAAUAAUAAUACCAUUAAGCUGGUUUACCAAAAUUAAAGAAACACACCUUUCACUGAAUGUGCACAGAUAUUGCCGGUUGUUUGUUCUUAUAAAAUAGGAGAUAUUACAACCAAGUUUAUUCCCCCACCCCCGUGACAGUGCCUCUGCUGGUCCUUAUUGCUCCAGCAAAUGUGGUUUAAGAAGAUGAGAUGUUCAUUCCCUUUAUAUCUACCGGCAACUUCCUCAUGGUUUUGUUAUCAGGUUUAUUUCCUCUUGCUCUCCCUGUGGGAGUUUACUGGCUUGAAUUUGGGCCUUAUGCCCUCCAACAUACAAUGUGGCACUAAAAUGGUUCACCUCCAGUUUCAUAUCCAGGUGUGUUAUCCUCUUAAUGUCUCACUAGACUCUUAACAUCAGUCUUGAAAUACCCACAUUGGCUCCCAGUACGUUUCCGAGCACAAUUCAAAGUGUUGGUGCUGACCUUUAAAGUCCUAAACGGCUUCGGCCCAGUAUACCUGAAGGAGCGUCUCCACCUGCAUCGUUCAGCCCGGACACUGAGGUCAAGCACCGAGGGCCUUCUGGCGGUUCCCUCCCUGCGAGAAGCCAAGUUACAGGGAACCAGGCAGAGGGCCUUCUCGGUAGUGGCACCUGUGGAAUGCCAUCUCAUCAGAUGUCAAGGAAAUAAACAACUAUCUGACUUUUGUAAGACCUCUGAAGGCAGCAGCCCUGUUUAGGGAAGUUUUUAAUGACUGGUGUUUUAAUGUAUUUUUAAUCUUUUGUUGGAAGCUGCCCAGAUGGGUGGGGUAUAAAUAAUAAUAAUAAUAAUUAUCCAUAUGUUUUACAGCUAGAGACUGAAUGUUGCAGCCGAAGAAGGCGCCUGAAACCUCUUUUGAGUAUGUGCCUGCAAAUAUUGUUACACAUCACUCCAACCCUCUGAAAAUGAGAGACACCAGGUGUUCCAGUGCUUAUCUAAGACUUGGAAGGAAGGUCAGUGGAAACUGUUGUGUCUUUAGGAUAUAUGGGUUUGUUUGUGCAUAUAUACAACCUGAACAUAAGAUGGAGGGCCUCACAGCAUCAAGGCCCCAACAGAUCUUGCUCCUAUGUUAGUCACAGCUUUAGAGCCAGCACACAGCAAGGCAUCUUUCUCCCCUCAGAUCUUGCAGCAUCUCUCUGCUUCCAGCUCACUCGCACCCGGCAACUGUACAUUCCAGCCCCCCUUGGUUACCCUUUUUGGUUGAGUCUCCCUUGGGUGCAGCUAGUAGCAACCCAGCUCAUCCAUUUGAAAUGAAGCAGAGCACCCUAAGUGCUACUUGGGGGUAGCUUUGGAUCCCUCGGGUGAGAAACCAAGGCAGUGAAUGGUAUUUAUACGAGGCACCUCGUUUAUCUAAUAGUUUUCUGUUCUGUCCUUUUGUUUUAGGGGGGUGAAAACAGAUGAUGUGUUACUGCCUGGCAGUUAGGAAGUUGGGAAAAGGUGGUUUCUGUUCCUCCUGCCCCCAUGGGAACCCCUGCUAUUGGGCGUAUAUUGUAUGCCACCCCCCACCUCCAGAAUGAGAGGGACUGCUUGGCAUCAAUGCUUUAUUUAGAGGGUGGGGUAUAUUGCUUUGUAUGUCAGUAUUUGUCUAGGUCUCAUGAGUGGGCUGUUGAGGAUGCAAUGCAGAAUUAUCGGAACUGCGUGCUAGAGGAGUAAAGUUUGAGUACAUUGUAGGGCUUCUGUGUUUGGUUGUUGUGCAUGCGCUAAUUAUGUGUGGAAUGCAAUUUUAGCUGCCGUUUAAGCUCUGCUUGGGAUGCGGGUGGUGCUGUGGGUUAAACCAUAGAGCCUAGGACUUGCCAAUCAGAAGGUCGGCGGUUCGAAUCCCCGCGACGGGGUGAGCUCCCGUUGCUCAGUCCCUGCUCCUGCCAACCUAGCAAUUCAAAAGUACGUCAAAGUGCAAGUAAAUAAAUAGGUCCCACUCUGGCGGGAAGGUAAAC
rnacentral:lncRNA from 1 species